rnacentral:rRNA from 1 species
GACGAACGCUGGCGGCGUGCUUAACACAUGCAAGUCGAACGGACAGACCCGGCGCUUGUGGGGUGCUCGAUUGGCGAACGGGUGAGUAACACGUGAGUAACCUCCCCUUGACUUUGGGAUAACUUCAGGAAAAUCGGGCGCAUACCGGGUAGGAGCUCCUGCUGCAUGGUGGGGGUUGGUAAGUGUCGGCGGUUGGGGAUGGUCUCGCGGCAUAUCAGCUUGUUGGUGGGGUAGUGGUUGACCAAGGGUGUGACGGGUAGCCGGCAUGAGAGGGUGAACGGCCACAAUGGGACUGAGAUACGGCGCAGACGGCUACGGGAGGCAGCAGUGGGGAAUAUUGCGGAAUGGGGCGAAGCCUGAUGCAGCAGCGUCGCGUGCGUGAUGCCGGGCUUCGGGGUGUAAACCGAUUUCGACUGUGACGAAGCGUGAGUGACGGUAAUGGGUAAAGAAGCACCGGCUAACUACGUG